rnacentral:rRNA from 1 species
GACGAACGCUGGCGGCGUGCUUAACACAUGCAAGUCGAACGGAAAGGCCCUGCUUUUGUGGGUUGCUCGAGUGGCGAACGGGUGAGUAACACGUGAGUAACCUGCCCUUGACUUUGGGAUAACUUCAGGAAACUGGGGCUAAUACCGGAUAGGAGCUCCUGCUGCAUGGUGGGGGUUGGAAAGUUUCGGCGGUUGGGGAUGGACUCGCGGCUUAUCAGCUUGUUGGUGGGGUAGUGGCUUACCAAGGCUUUGACGGGUAGCCUGCCUGAGGGGGUGACCGGGCACAGUGGGAUUGGGAAGGGGCACAGACGGCUACGGGAGGAAGCAGUGGAGAACAGUGCACGAAGGGCGGAGGCAGGAUGGAGGAACGUCGGGUGGGAGAGGACGGCUUUCGGGUUGGAAAACGCUUGCGCCUGUGACGAAGCGUGAGUGAGGGUAAUGGGUAAAGAAGCACGGGCUAACUACGU